UGCACCGUCGCCAUUUCCGGAGAGGGAAACGAUUCGUGGGUGGGGAACCGACUUGAUGCCGUGUGCUGAAACCCAUACAAAUAUCACUUGAUUAUCUGGAUUCAUCAGCUCUACAUCGUGCUUCCUCUAAGAUGUGAAUUGCAAUGUAGGAGGACCCCAUGCUUUUUGAUGCUAUGAAUGUACCCGGCACGUUGGUGGCUGCUGAAUGGAAAUUGUCUGGGAAGGGGCGGAGGCCAAUCAAAUAACAAAAGUUUUGGGCUUGUUCGUGUUGGGUCAUGAGGUUGCCAGGCUUUUCCUGUGGUUGCUGCCUGGAGAACUUGCAUGGAGGCUUUGUGCGGUGAAGUCGUGCUCAAUGUUAGCAACUUCCAUGCUUUUGGUUCCACUCUGGGGAUGCAUCAGUUUCGCUCUUGGGCUUGUCGGCGCCAGUUUUUCGUCGGCAGUUCGUGACGAUGUCUCAAACGGGGUUGGGGCAGUCUUUGGUGGCUGUUGAAGUGGAUUUCGUACCUUUAGGUGCUGAGUUUGGCGCAUGUGCGUUGGGACAUUGUAUUAGUAAUACGUCAUGCGGAUAAUCCAGUGUCCUUGUUCGACCCUUGGGUCUGCUGUGGAGAUUUUCUAUUGGUGUUGCCUUACGUGUUUGGUGUCGAUCUUUGAUGCUCCCAUCGAGUAGUUCGCUUUCGCGCUCAGGUUUUUGGGUGUCGGAUUUCGCGUCCGAUUGGUCUUCCAGCGUGUUUGUAAAACGUCGUUCGCUUUAUUCUGAGCCGGUUGCCGUUGUUCGUGUUAUCUUGACUGAAGAAAAGUGCUGAGUGGUUUUCCUCAAUGACGACAGUUGGCUUCAUAUAGGGAUUGUUCAUUGUGUUUUGAAAUUAAUGUCACGUUAAAUAUUGUUUAGAGUUCGCUGUGUCAGUUUUCCAUUGACAUAACCAUAAGGCUGCAUCAUGCUUGGCAGAUUUAAAUCGGUCGCUCAUCCUGUUCUGAAGCUGGAAUAUUGGGUGGUUUUCCCGUUCCAAGGACCUGUUUGGCUAGUUGUCGGCAACUGUUUGUGACAUCGAUACGUUCUGGUCGCUUGAUUCAUCGCUUAACCUUCUGUACAGCGUGUGGCGUUCUGGGUAUGCGUGCUUGGCUGUUGGUGAAUUCAAAGAUUAAGCAGGUUAAUUUGGUACGAGUGUAGCAGUGAUGUCUGAUUUACGGGUUGGCGUUGGUUCUGUUCGGCAAUUCAUCGAAUACGUUGUAUGUUAUUGAAUAACUCUACGUUGUAUGCUUUUUUCUGGUUUUUGUUUCAAUAAAACUUACGAUAUAUUCGA